GGUGUAAAGGGCGUGUAGGCGGGAUUGUAAGUCAGAUGUGAGAUUCCAGGGCUAAACUCUGGAGGUGCAUCUGAAACUAUAAUUCUUGAGUGCUGGAGAGGAAAGCGGAAUUCCUAGUGUAGCGGUGAAAUGCGUAGAUAUUAGGAAGAACACCAGUGGCGAAGGCGGCUUUCUGGACAGUAACUGACGCUGAGGCGCGAAAGCGUGGGGAGCAAGCAGGAUUAGAUACCCUGGUAGUCCACGCUGUAAACGAUGGAUACUAGGUGUAGGAGGUAUCGACCCCUUCUGUGCCGGAGUUAACACAAUAAGUAUCCCACCUGGGGAGUACGGCCGCAAGGCUGAAACUCAAAGGAAUUGACGGGGGCCCGCACAAGCAGUGGAGUAUGUGGUUUAAUUCGAAGCAACGCGAAGAACCUUACCAGGGCUUGACAUCCCUCGGAUAACAUAGAGAUAUGUUAGUCCUUCGGGACGAGGAGACAGGUGGUGCAUGGUUGUCGUCAGCUCGUGUCGUGAGAUGUUGGGUUAAGUCCCGCAACGAGCGCAACCCCUAUUGUUAGUUGCCAUCAUUAAGUUGGGCACUCUAACGAGACUGCCGGUGACAAAUCGGAGGAAGGUGGGGACGACGUCAAAUCAUCAUGCCCCUUAUGUCCUGGGCUACACACGUACUACAAUGGUCACUACAAAGGGAAGCAAUACCGCAAGGAGGAGCAAAUCCCCAAAGGUGACCUCAGUUCGGAUUGUGGGCUGAAACCCGCCCACAUGAAGUCGGAAUUGCUAGUAAUGGCAGGUCAGCAUACUGUCGUGAAUACGUUCCCGGGCCUUGUACACACCGCCCGUCACACCAUGAGAGUUUGCAACAACCCGAAGUCAGUAGCUUAACCGUAAGGAGGGCGCUGCCGAAGGUGGGGCAGAUGAUUGGGUGAAGUCUAANCA
rnacentral:rRNA from 1 species